rnacentral:rRNA from 1 species
CACGUAGGGGGCAAGCGUUGUCCGGAUUUAUUGGGCGUAAAGAGCUCGUAGGUGGUUCGGUAAGUCGGGUGUUAAACCCCCAGGCUCAACCUGGGGACGCCACUCGAUACUGCUGUGACUAGAGUCCGGUAGGGGAGCGUGGAAUUCCUGGUGUAGCGGUGAAAUGCGCGGAUAUCAGGAGGAACACCAGCGGCGAAGGCGGCGCUCUGGGCCGGUACUGACACUGAGGAGCGAAAGCGUGGGUAGCAAACAGG